UAAGCAAAAUAAAUCAAAGUU
rnacentral:piRNA from 1 species